AGGAGGAGGAGGAGGAGGAGGAGGAGGAGGAGGAGGAGGAGGAGGAGAAGAAGAAGAAGAAGAAGAAGAAGAAGAAGAAGAAGAAGAAGAAGAAGAAGAAGAAGAAGAAGAAGAAGAAGAAGAAGAAGAAGAUCACAGCACUUCUUUCUUUCUAGAUUGAAAUCAGUUUAAUCAGGGAAGGAAAGAUGGAUCAGAAGUUAAAAGACCAUGUUGCUCUUCUGGAGGACCCUCAGUUCACUCCUGUGAACUGGACUGUUCACAACCACCUAUAACUCCAGCACCAGAGUAUCUCACACCCUCUUCUGGCCUCUUUGGGUACUGCACUCAUGUGCACAAACCCAUCUACAGAUACACAUAUAUAAAUACAAACAGAUAAAUAAAAUCUUAAAGCAAGACAGUACAGUGUUACUAACCACGUCUAAUGUGAUUCAAAUGUUUAAAAUUUUACCAAAGGAAAUCUCCGAAUGGAGGCUAUGGUUAUCCAGUUUUCAACAUUUGAUUUCAAGUGCUUCGCUUCAUUUCCCUACUCAAAUACCCAGCUUAAAGGGUUAGAAUGUUACCAGUCCAGUUUUCAAAGACAUAGGCUACUUGGAACAGCCUAGCGCCUGAGGUCAUGGAAGACUUAAAAAUUAUCAACAACGAAGGUAGCAGCUUUUCCAACAAAGCAAUAAGUCUGUUUACCAGAGAGUCUCCAAUUCCACGCUCUCUUACAACCCUACCUAGAGACCAAAGCUCGAACUAAUCCUUUCUCAACUAAAAACAGAGAGAGAGGCAAAGAGUCACAGAGAGGGACAAAAGACCGCCACUUGGUUUUCAUGGUAUGGUCACCUUUUAAAUGCCAGUCUCCUAUGGACUUCUGUGGGUCCUCUGUCACCCUAAGACUCAUCCCUGAUUCCUCAAUCUGCUCCACUUGCCCCACUCAGUCAGUACCUGGUCAUACCACAGAGAGGAAAUGAAGACUGAGGCUGUUCUCUGGCAGCAGCUGGAUUUGCCUUAACAGAUAGGGAAAUAAAGACAGGCUGAGGGAAAGGCUAGCAGAAUUUUACAAUAAUCGCUUUGCUUUCUGUGGACAUACUGUCAAUAAUAAAAGCUUUCAGAGCUCUAAAACAUUGUGGAAAUCAUAUCCUCGGAUACAGAAACCGACAAGACAGUAAGUCAAUGAGGCUUCUUUUGAGAAUUGUCAGUUUGGUAAGAUGAUAAUUCUAUUGAUUUUUUUUCCCCCUCAGGAAAAGCUGAGGAAAAGAUGAUUACUUUAAAAAAAAUUUUUUUAGUGAGUGUGGGGGUGUCUCUUGGUGACAAGAACAUGUGUUCUUAGUAGGCACGAGGCCCAGUAAUUGUGUCUCCUUCAAGACAAAAAGCAAAAUCAUCAUCAGCGAAUGGAUACGAUUUCAAAAUAUCGGGUGAGCAUUUAAAAACAAGAGGGACCAGAGAUGUUUUUUAAAAGCACAGUGUGUAUGUUAUGUCUUAUGUAUAAGAGUCAUAAGACACAAACAAAACACAAGACUUGGCUUACCACGCAACAUAUACGCCGAACGUGACUUAAUCUUCUUUAGAAUUCGGAAAAUUACGAAAUGUCUCUGGUUUUACUUUCCAGACAUCAUUCUCAGAGCCUACACGAGUUAUCACAGGCACUGCCGAGGGCCUUCAGCAAACAGCCGUUUUUCUGUACUGCUCGAUACGUAUGGAUUAUUGAAUAUUAAGACACCAUUGGGGCGCUGGGGGUGUUAAAACAUAAAAUAAUAUUUGGAUAUUACAGGACUUCAGCUGUGUGGCUUUUCUUUCAAUGAUAUAUGACAGUAGCAGAGGAAGACAGGCCAACCACAUCUCUCAAGCCAGCAUGAGAACUUGGACGUAAACUCACAUGGGAGGAGCUGCAAACCGAAGCUCCUAGAAACGUCCUACCCCGUCUAGCUCCUAGGCUUGGGGCCUCUCUUGUGUGGCCUCCGACAGCAUCUCAUUCAUUGCCUGGAUCAGUGAGUUACAGGUACUCCAUUAAAUUACACACUAAAUAAGCCACGUUCACAGGCUUAUCUCUAGCACACAGCAGACUAACUAGCUGGGACGGAUAUUACUCUCCUGCUUGCCAUGACCAAAGGUACCUUAAGGGGCGAAGGUGGCUUAUUUAGGCUCACAAGGUGACAGUAUAGCCCAUUGUCAUAGAAAAGGCAUGGCAACAGGAGACGCUGUUGGUGGCUGUUGGCUUCUAUCUGGGUAGAUGGGGGACAGCAGAGCUUCACUAGUGCCUGAGGUGUUUCCAACCAAGUCCACAAUGAAGAUGACAGGUGGUGAUGGCCGGAAGGGAUUGGAAGAAAAUGGAGGACAGAAAUGAAGACCAUGGGGGCUGGGGAUUUAGCUCAGUGGUAGCGCUUACCUAGGAAGCGCAAGGCCCUGGGUUCGGUCCCCAGCUCCGAAAAAAAAAAAGAACCAAAAAAAAAAAAAAGAAAUGAAGACCAUGAAGAGAUAACCUUUAUCAUGACCACAUUCCAAAUAAGACAGCAAAGGCUGGGGGUGGUUAGACAGUGUGUCCAAAGGUCACAAAGUCACCUGUUAGAAGUCACAGUAGCAUCAGCCACUGCUAAAACCCAUGCAGCCCCAGUCUGCUACUGAGGGCUCCACACUGACCCCCUGUUGACUUAAGACCUGGACAAGUCUGCCAAGAAUUCACUGUGUUUAACACCAGUUAAUGGCGAGUACAAUAUCCAUUUAGUAAUUAACAUAAAAUAAAUGCCAGAUGCCAAAUCUGUCCUCUAGAAAUUGCAAGGUCAAGUGUCUGUUGUUAUUGGAAUAAAAACACUGUGCUAUAAACAACUUGGAAAGGAAAGAAUUUAUUUCAGAGGAUAAUGGUCGGGCCAGACUCCAUUGCCAAGUAAGGGCAAGAACUCAAACAGGGUAGAAACCUGGAGGCAGGAACUGAUGCAGAAGCCAUGCGAAGUUUGGGGAUGCUUGGUGGUCUGCUCCUUAUGGCUUUGCUCAGCCUGCUUUUUUUAAAAAAAUAACACCCAGGACCAAUAGGCCAGGGGUGGCCUCACCCACAGUGAUAUGGGACCUCCCAUACGAAUUAUCAGUCAAGAAAAUGUACCACAGGCUUGCCCACAGGUCAAUCUGGUAAGGGCAUUUUCUCAGUGAGGUCCCCUCUUCUCAGAUGACUCUAGCUUGUGUCAAGCUGACAUAAAAUCUAGCUGGCACAGGGCUGAACCGACCCAACAGUAACUGGACAGUUGUCAACUUUGGUCAGGCAUGCUGGGGUUGCCAGCAGUAACAGGGUAGGAAAGAGGAGCCAUCGGCCCAAUGGCCUCAAACGGAGCAUUCUGUGACAGCACAGCUGUGUCGCCACAACCUGUGGCAGAUUGCAGCACUGUCUUUAUUUCAAGAGGGGAGCAAACCAGAAAUGUCCGGACCUUGAGAGUCAUUUGGAAGAUUGUUCAUAAGUAGGCUUGCCUCUAAAACACAACCUCCCUCCUGUAACUUCACACCCAAACUAGAAAUCCAUUGACCGCACACAAAAGGCAAGACCCACAGGCUUCCUCACCCUCUGUAUAGUUCUGAUUCCUUAAUUCCUGUUCGUGUAGUCCGAAGAAGCUUCAGUCCUGUUUCUUCAACGUAAUGUUAAGUCGCAAAGAAUAUAAACAGGCAAGCCAGAAAUACAACCCCGGUCCAGUUCCACGUCCGUGCUCCCUGCUGCACACCGCAAUCACCAAGAGACAUUUAUGGAAAGAAGAGGAGGGGUGAGGAGGAGGGAGCUAGUGGGUGCUUAGCUUACAGGGAAAAAGCCUAACUCUACAACUCAUGGAAUUACCAUCAUCUCUGGCUACUUCUCAGCCCUGUGCCGUUUGUUGGUUUCUUGAUAUAUUUAGCUCAUGUUGACCAAUGGAGCUGUUUAUCAAGGCAUUGCACAGAGUGAAGGGAAGUGUAAAAUCAGGCUGAAGAAGAGAAAUAUUAGCAUCAACUGUGGAGAAACAUGAUCAACACUGUGUUGAAGUCAGGGAGUGCUGGCAUACACCACAACCCUCAUUGUGGGCUAACAUUCUCCUCUUGCCUCAGCAAAAAGAAGGUUAAAGGAGGGGGCAGCAUUUUUUUUGUGGGGGGGAGCAUUUUUAAAGUCCCUUCCUUGGUUACUAGGAAAUGACCGUUAAUGUUCUGGAACAAGAAUACGUCAUAAUGUUUUUCUUAUCGAGAACAUUCCAAGCUGUCAGAGACCAAGAUGCUCUGUCCAGAGCGAGAGCCAUCUCAGCUGCUUCUAGAGAACACAAAGAAAGUUCCACCAUCCCAAGGAACGAGCACGUCAAUUAGCCUAAGAAAACAGAACCUAACUACAAAAGCCUAAACUAAAUGAAUCAGCUUCCUCUCAAGAUCUCUCGAUGGCAGACACCCAGAGACAUGAGGAGGUCAGAGAACAACUUGUGGACUUCCAUUCGCUCCUUUUACUCUCUACCACCUCGGAUUGAAUCUGGGUUGUCAGGCUCUGCAGCAAAAUGCCUUUCUGUGCUGAGCCAUCUCUCUGGCCACUAGGUUAGAUUUUUUUUUUUCACAAGAAACUGGUACUCGGAUGAUAGAGGGAGGAGGAUAAUAAGACCAUCGUGUCUCAAGAGGAGGAGGAAAAGGAAGAGGAGAAGGAGGAAGAAGAGGAUGAAGAGGAAGGAGAAGCGGAGGAGGAAGAGGAGGAAGAGGACAAAGAGGAGGAAGAAGAGGAAGAAGGGGAAGAGGAGGAAGAAGAGGAGGAGGAGGAAGAGGAAGGAGAAGAGGAGGAAGAAGAGGAGGAGGAGGAAGAGGAAGAAGAGGAGGAGGAAGAAGAGGAGGAGGAGGAAGAGGAAGAGGAAGAAGGGGAAGAGGAGGAGGAGGAGUAGGAGGAGGAAGAGGAGGAGGAAGAGAAGGAGGAAGAAGAGGAAGAAAAGGAAAAAGAAGAGGAGGCAGAGGAAGAUGAAAAGGAAAAGGAGAAGAAAGAGGAGAAGGAGGAGGAAGAGGACAAGGGAGGGGAAGAGGAGGAGGAGAAGGGGAGGAAGAGGAAGAGGAGGAGAGAGGGGAAGAGGAGGAGGAGGAAAAAGAAGACGGUAACAAUGACAACAGCUUUCUCAGGAGACCAAAGCACUCUUAACAAGUAAGUGUUCAGCCAAACUUUGUUUUCCAUCUGAACACAAAAAAAGCUAUGGUUAGCUGUGCACUGUGGAACUUGUCGCUUUGGCCAUCUGCCAUGUCUUAGUGCUUCAAAGUACCUCCGUGUUCUUUAAAGCUUUCUGAUAGAAAUCCGGGGUGGGAAACAGUUCCUUUCCUUCUUACAGUGGUGGAUCUAAAUUAAUAACAAUAAAGACAUCAAAUAGGUGGCCAGCCAUUCGCAGGCGUAAUCACA